CUGGCGGCGUGCUUAACACAUGCAAGUCGAACGGAAAGGCCACAGCUUGCUGUGGUACUCGAGUGGCGAACGGGUGAGUAACACGUGGGUGAUCUGCCCUGUACUUCGGGAUAAGCUUGGGAAACUGGGUCUAAUACCGGAUAGGAAUCACAUGUGGGUGUGUGGUUGGAAAGCUUUUGCGGUAUGGGAUGAGCUCGCGGCCUAUCAGCUUGUUGGUGGGGUAAUGGCCUACCAAGGCGUCGACGGGUAGCCGGCCUGAGAGGGUGUACGGCCACAUUGGGACUGAGAUACGGCCCAGACUCCUACGGGAGGCAGCAGUGGGGAAUAUUGCACAAUGGGCGCAAGCCUGAUGCAGCGACGCCGCGUGGGGGAUGACGGCCUUCGGGUUGUAAACUCCUUUCGUCAGGGACGAAGCGAAAGUGACGGUACCUGGAUAAGAAGCACCGGCUAACUACGUGCCAGCAGCCGCGGUAAUACGUAGGGUGCGAGCGUUGUCCGGAAUUACUGGGCGUAAAGAGCUCGUAGGUGGUUUGUCGCGUCGUUUGUGUAAGUCCACGGCUUAACUGUGGGAUGGCAGGCGAUACGGGCAUAACUUGAGUGCUGUAGGGGAGACUGGAAUUCCUGGUGUAGCGGUGAAAUGCGCAGAUAUCAGGAGGAACACCGAUGGCGAAGGCAGGUCUCUGGGCAGUAACUGACGCUGAGGAGCGAAAGCAUGGGUAGCGAACAGGAUUAGAUACCCUGGUAGUCCAUGCCGUAAACGGUGGGCGCUAGGUGUGAGUCCCUUCCACGGGGUUCGUGCCGUAGCUAACGCAUUAAGCGCCCCGCCUGGGGAGUACGGCCGCAAGGCUAAAACUCAAAGGAAUUGACGGGGGCCCGCACAAGCGGCGGAGCAUGUGGAUUAAUUCGAUGCAACGCGAAGAACCUUACCUGGGCUUGACAUACACC
rnacentral:rRNA from 1 species